AUGCACCUGCUCCCAAAGGACUGGAAUAAAUGCAAGCAUUCAGUCAGAAGAAAGGAAAGGAAAACAAAAGAGCCUCUGUGUUUCUUCAAAUAUAUCAUUUCCCAACAGCUACACUACCAGCAGACCUUCUCAACUGCCAGAGGAACUUCUUUCUGCCUAUCCAGGACAGACAGAAAAUGGAGUCCUAAAGUUGCUUUUAGUCUCCAUGCUAUAAAGAGAGUUUGCUCCGCUUUCCAAACACCCUCUUUGACAUGUAGGUGUGCUGCAUUCCACUACUACUACUGCCAACAUUAUUAUUAUCCCAGUCCUACUCUCACUAGGAGUGAGAGAGAAAAGGCAAAAAAGAAGCCUGGAUAAAGUCUGUUAAAAUUAUGCGAACGAGCUAUGCUUGCAAAGCCUUUGUUGCUUACUGGCUCCCAAGCAGAAAAGAUAUCUAGUGAGAAAAGGUAAUCUAAUGACUAUAAUUUUUUUGUGUUUUCAUAAAAAUUUUACUCAGGCAAAUACACUAAGAAUACAAUGUCAGUCCCUAGAGAAUACAUGGUUAUUAAUCUAAUUUGAAGAGUAAAGAGCUGUUUGCCAGAUUUUGUGUUCCAGUUUAUUUCCAGGUUAGAUCUAUGCAAAAACCCCUCAGUUUUGUUCGAACAACCACAAGCAUAACAACCAAUUUAAUUCAAAGAUAAUUCAACUCAUUAGAAUUCAAUCAGUUCUGUAGUAGAUCAGCAAUUCCAAUUGGCUAUAUAAGCUGGAUUAAACUACUGUCUUUCUCUUCCAUGCAAUUUUCAGAAUUACCCCAACACCUGCUCCUGUCAAGGCCCCUUGCUUCCAUACCCAGAUGACUACAGCAGCAAGGAUAACUGAAAUUACAAACAUCACACUUACAUAAUUAGCAAUAGAUGCAAGUCAUGCAUAUCAAAAUAUAAUUUUACCUUACCAUGGUUCAGGCUACAAUUUUCUUCAAUCCGCUGCCCUUCUUAUCAAGAAUCAGAGGAACUCCUUUAAAGCAUUCUACAAAAAUUUCCAUUUUCUAUAUCAACAGGAUCAGUGCUGUAGGGGGCAGAGUUAACUCAGGCCAAUGCAAAGAAAAUCAGGAUAUAAGUGGAAACAUGUAGGUAGGGCUACAACAGAUAUACUUUUUUAAAAAGACAGCUUCUAUUUCUUCCAAAAAUCUUAUCCAGAUAAGUUUUAAAGGACCUCCUCCCUGUGCUACAGCUUUCUGAACACAUUUUUUAAAUGAAAGGGUUCUAGUAAUUCAACAUAUCCACAAGAAUCUUAUACCUUUUAUCACCAAAUGUCAUAUACCUAAAACUAUAAAAACUCUAGCAAAACUUUAUUUUGGCUGCAUACCAAUACUUGCAUGCCUGCACCUGUAAUAAAUUCAAAGCCUCCUUACA
rnacentral:lncRNA from 1 species